rnacentral:lncRNA from 1 species
GUCAUAACUCACAAGUUUAAAGUUUAAAGUUUUAACUUUAAAAUUGACCGUGACAUUGGAUCCUCGAUGUGCAAUUUUCAAAGUCUUCUAGAUGAAGCAUUUUGUUCAUUAGCUAUUAACUUAUUGUAGCAGGAAUAGUUACCAUGCAGUGCAGCAUCUGAUAGUAUAUUCUCUGGCCGACUCGGACUGCACUUUCACUAUUAAGUAAGGCUGUACCAUGUAACGGUUUCGAAU